UACGGAGGAUGCAAGUGUUAUCCGGAUUCAUUGGGUCUAAAGGGUGCGUAGGCGGAAUAUUAAGUCAGUGAUGAAAUCCUGCAGCUUAACUGUAGAACUGUUAUUGAUACUGGUAUUCUUGAAUGCAGUUGAGGUAGGCGGAAUGUGUAAUGUAGCGGUGAAAUGCUUAGAUAUUACACAGAACACCGAUUGCGAAGGCAGCUUACUAAACUGUGAUUGACGCUGAGGCACGAAAGCGUGGGGAGCAAACAGGAUUAGAAACCCCAGUAGUCC
rnacentral:rRNA from 1 species